AAAGAACCUAAGGCGC
rnacentral:rRNA from 1 species